GUGAAGGAAAGCAGAAACCAACAUCCUCCCCCUUUCUGUGAACAUCACUGGGCAGCGUGUUCGUACAGUAUCAGUACAAACCCAACACUGUACCUAUGUGCAGAAGUUGGGUUUGUACUGAUACUGUACGAACACGCUGCCCAGUGAUGUUCACAGAAAGGGGGAGGAUGUUGGUUUCUGCUUUCCUUCACUGUGCAGCAACU